rnacentral:rRNA from 1 species
CUGCAUGGCUGUCGUCAGCUCGUGUCGUGAGAUGUUCGGUUAAGUCCCGCAACGAGCGCAACCCUUGCCAUUAGUUGCUACGAAAGGGCACUCUAAUGGGACUGCCGGUGACAAACCGGAGGAAGGUGGGGAUGACGUCAAGUCCUCAUGGCCCUUAUAGGUGGGGCUACACACGUCAUACAAUGGCCGGUACAGAGGGUAGCCAACCCGCGAGGGGGAGCCAAAUCCCACAAAGCCGGUCGUAGUCCGGAUCGCAGUCUGCAACUCGACUGCGUGAAGUCGGAAUCGCUAGUAAUCGCGGAUCAGCAUGUCGCGGUGAAUACGUUCCCGGGUCUU